GGAGGGGUGGCCACCGGCCGGGGUGGGGUGGGGGGUCCCCAUUGGAGAAACUAGAAGCGAGAUGGUCCUGAUCAAGGAGUUUCGGGUGCUACUUCCCUGCUCCGUGGAGGAGUAUCAAGUGGGACAGUUGUAUUCCGUGGCCCAGACCAGCAAGAAUAACACUGGGGGCGGUGAGGGCAUCGAGGUCCUCAUCAAUCAGCCUUACGAGGGGGGUCCUGGUGAACGGGGCCAAUUUACCCACAAGAUCUACCACCUGCAGAGCAAGGUUCCAGGAUUUGUUCGCCUGUUUGCCCCUGAGGGUUCCCUGGUGUUUCAUGAGAAGGCCUGGAAUGCCUACCCAUACUGCCGGACUGUCAUCACGAAUGAAUAUAUGAAGGAUGACUUCUUCAUCAAGAUUGAAACCUGGCAUCAUCCAGACAUGGGGACUCAGGACAACGUUCAUCAUCUUGAUGCAGAGACAUGGAAGGAGGUAGAAGUGGUUCAUAUUGACAUUGCUGAUAGGACCCAAGUGUCUGAUGAGGAUUAUAAACCAGAAGAGGACCCUGCUCUCUUCAGGUCCAUCAAAACAGGGCGUGGCCCUUUGGGACCCAACUGGCAGAGGGAAUUGUUGAAACAUCCACCCCACAUGUGUGCCUACAAACUGGUGACUGUCAAGUUCCGAUGGUGGGGGCUCCAGGGACGAGUGGAGAGCUUCAUCCAUAAGCAAGAAAAGCGGCUCUUCACCAACUUCCACAGGCAGCUGUUCUGUUGGCUGGACCAGUGGGUUGAUCUGUCCAUGGAGGACAUCCGGAACCUGGAGGAGGAGACCCAGCGAGAAUUGGACCAGAUGCGGAAGACGGGGCCAGUGAGGGGAAUGAGAGCCAGUGAUGACUGAGACCUCAGCCAGACCUGGGCAGUAGUGAGUCAUCAGCAGGACCACAUUCAGGCCAGUUGUUUAGAGUGCAAGAGCCUACUUUAACUCCAGUGUGAGGAUGCUCAGGGUCCCGACUCUACAGGUACCUACCCCGAGAUGGAAAAUUGAAGGGAAUUUGGUGCAGCGUCUACCCAGUAGGCAGGAGGAAAGAGUGAAGCUGCUGCUUUUGGGGUGGGGUAGCAGGGAUGGGAUACCUGUCUGCUCCUCUCCAGCUCUCUCCCACCAUACUCUCCUACCCUGGAGUGUUUCCCAUUCCCAGAGAUACCUGGGGACCGAGAGGUGGAGUAACAUUCCAGGGCCAAACACUACAACCGCUGCUCCCUUUCAAGCCUGGAAAGGACACAGGAAGUAGGGGCAACUUGACUUACCACUCCCUGUUCCUGAUGCCAAUGGAGUCAACGCUGCACAGUAAUAAAGUCCACAUGGGCCCCUAGGCCU